CGCCUAUAAAAUUUAAUGUUAUGAUAUUAAAAAAAAUUCAAAAUACAUUUUAUCGUAAAAAUUGUACCAUUUAAUGAUAAACUAUUGAUAAAUAAAAAGUGAGGUGGAUCUAAGAAAAUGGGGAAGGUUCGACAGGUUUCACCUCUUCUCCUCUCUUCAUUCACAUCCCGCGAUUCAUCAUCUUCAUCUUCCUAUUUUACCCACACCAACAAAUACUACACUGUCAUCUUCUUAUUUUACCCAUUUGUCCCACAUCGACAAAGGAGGAAAGGCACAAUGCGUAUAAAUUCCACACUCCUCAACGCCAAGCAAUGUUGAGCUGGAUGACAGCAGCCGAAGUUUCAUGCAAGUUUUGAUAAUUUCAAUCGUGUGAUGUGGUAGCGCUAUUCCCCUUAAUUUUAUUCAAAUAAUAAAGACGCCGAUGAUUUACUGUAGCAAUAGGCCGAAUCAUGACGUCAAACACUGACUUUAUGACGUCAUCGAGUGUGUUUCUAAAAAAACAGGCCGGAUCCCGUUUUUCC
rnacentral:lncRNA from 1 species